UACGGGGGGAGCAAGCGUUGUUCGGAUUUACUGGGCGUAAAGAGUGCGUAGGCGGUUUCUCAAGUCCGCUGUGAAAUCCCCGGGCUCAACCUGGGAAUGGCAGUGGAAACUAGGAGACUUUGAAUCUGGCAGAGGGGGGUGGAAUUCCACGUGUAGCAGUGAAAUGCGUAGAGAUGUGGAGGAACACCGAUGGCGAAGGCAGCCCCCUGGGCUGAGAUUGACGCUCAGGCACGAAAGCGUGGGGAGCAAACAGG
rnacentral:rRNA from 1 species